rnacentral:rRNA from 1 species
GCUCACGGCCAUAUCAGCCUGGGUACGCCCGAUCUCGUCUGAUCUCGGAAGCUAAGCAGGGUCGGGCCUGGUUAGUACUUUGAUGGGAGACUGCCUGGGAAUACCAGGUGCUGUAAGCA